rnacentral:misc_RNA from 1 species
GAAUCUCGGGAGUCCCUCCUAACCGGAGAAGGCCCGCAUCAUUAUUUCACACACUUGUGCAUUUGUCCCCCUUUUCAAUACCUUUAACCCUGUAUGCAUUUGAAACAGUCAUUGGUUAACAAACAUGAUAAAUGAAAGAAAAACUUUCAGCAAUGGAUCUCUUGGCUCU